GGAUUUGGGGGCGGUGUACACCGACUACUGGGGGCGAGUGUGGUGUUGCUCGUUGGUGGCUGAGACUAGUUCGUGCCGGGGCUAGUUGAGAGAAGCAGAGAAAUUUGGCAAGCGGAAUGGAUGACACGAGGCCAACAAUACCACUUGUAGCAAGGCAUUCAAAGGGACAUGCUACUCAGUAUCUCACUGCCUUUGCAGCUAUCAUGGGUGCCCUGGCUGCUGGGACUGUGUUGGGCUACUCGUCUCCAGCUGGUCCUAAAUUCAUGUCUAAUACAACCACUGGACCGCUGCAUCUGACCACGGAACAAAAUAUGUGGUUCUCAUCGUCAAUGAACUAGGGAGCUCUGAUGGGGGGGUCCUGUUGGUGGCCUAUGUCUUGGUGUUUUAAGUAGAUGAGGCACAAUGCUGGCUUCCACGGUACCCUUUGUCGCUGGAUGGCUUCUUAUUGUGGGAUUGCUGACCAGAUCUUCAAUCACAAGGUGUCGAGUGGGUAGGAAAGUCCCAGUCUAAAAAAUGUCACAUCCAAACAAGUACAGUAACUACAACUACGGAUUGGAUAGCAUAUGGAAUAGAUGGUGGCAUUGAAGAUGUUUGUGAGUGGUGAAACAAGCUGCCAUUCCCUAAGCAAGCAACAUUGAUGCAUCACUGACUAAAGCACAUUUGAAUGGAUAGUCUAGGCACUUGGCCUUCUCCACGUCCUUAUGCAAUGCUAUGAUACGCCAUGCCACGUCGCUAAGAUGAGCUGCAUAAUAUUGGUAAUUGAAGAAUGGUAUCAAAUUGGUGGAAUGCAAUAAGGCAAGU